rnacentral:sRNA from 1 species
CAGAACUGUCUUGGAAAGCCCUGGAAAAACAGGACAAAGAAACCUGUGUGAAUUUUCCGCUUUUCACCUUCUCUGAUUUUAUUUCUUCCUCAUUCUUCCUUUGACAGUCCUCGCAGGCCUCCUGAGAGAAUAGGGAAGACCCCCUCCCAGAACCUUCCUGUAAGGUCUCCCCGCUGACUUCCUGUAGUGGAUGUGACUGUGUGCCAGGUGCCUGCCGAAGACCCCUGUCACUGACUGUGCCCUUUGGGAAAGAGUCAACAAUGGCCUCCUCCUGUGGCUGACUUCGUUCAUGUUCAGGCUCUCCAGCUUGCUAGUGAGAAUUGCCAAGGAGUGGUUCAUGGCAGGAUAGAACUAAACUGAUAGAUGAAAGCUCCACAGUGCUUCAAGACGGGGUCCCGUUCAUGUUUAGCAGUUUUCCUUCCUUCAAAAUAAAAAACUAGCAGUCCUUA